rnacentral:rRNA from 1 species
GGCGGCGUGCCUAACACAUGCAAGUAGAACGCUGAAGGAGGAGCUUGCUCUUCUGGAUGAGUUGCGAACGGGUGAGUAACGCGUAGGUAACCUGCCUGGUAGCGGGGGAUAACUAUUGGAAACGAUAGCUAAUACCGCAUAAGAAUAGAUGUUGCAUGACAUUUGCUUAAAAGGUGCAAUUGUAUCACUACCAGAUGGACCUGCGUUGUAUUAGCUAGUUGGUGGGGUAACGGCUCACCAAGGCGACGAUACAUAGCCGACCUGAGAGGGUGAUCGGCCACACUGGGACUGAGACACGGCCCAGACUCCUACGGGAGGCAGCAGUAGGGAAUCUUCGGCAAUGGACGGAAGUCUGACCGAGCAACGCCGCGUGAGUGAAGAAGGUUUUCGGAUCGUAAAGCUCUGUUGUAAGAGAAGAACGAGUGUGAGAGUGGAAAGUUCACACUGUGACGUAUCUACCAGAAAGGACGCA